CCCAGCCGUAAACCUCCCACCCCACACACCUCCAAGCUCAAAUCCAAACGGCUCCACCGGCCAAAUGCUCCCGCUUCGGCGCCUGCCCGCGCUACCGCUGCCGCAUGGCUCCACGCGCCGCCGCCUCCUCGCCACCGGGGCCUCCGCCGCCUCGCCGCUCCCAUGGCCAGGCCUGCACGCCUGGCGCCGGGCCCCUCCCAGCGAACUCCGCACGUGGGGCCCGAACGGCCCCUGCGUUCCGGACGCGGUCACGGCGGACCAACCAGAAGCCGGCGCCGUCGCCGUCGCCGGCUCGUCCUUGGCCGAGAUGGGCGCCCUCGUGCUGUCCACCGCCGACCCCCUCUCCAAGACGCAGCUCACCCACGCCGCCUUCUCCCAGUGGGCGUCCGGCGGGCUCCCCGUGGGCCUGGCCCGGGCCCCCGACCACCCCGCCAGGCCGGACAAGCCCCUCGUGGUGACGCGCAAGGAGAUCCCCACGCACAAGGCGAUGGGCGUGCCGCUGAACGCGUACAUGCUGCACAACCUGGCGCACGUGGAGCUCAACGCGAUCGAUCUUGCUUGGGACACCGUGGUGCGUUUCUCGCCGCUGCGUGACACCCUGGGAGAUGGCUUCUUCACGGAUUUCGCACGCGUUGCCGAUGACGAGAGCCGGCAUUUCCGGUGGUAUUCACAGCGCCUGGCAGAGCUUGGGUUCAGAUAUGGCGAUAUGCCCGUUCACAAUCUUCUGUGGAACGAGUGCGCGAAAUCCUCAGGUGAUGUUUCUGCGCGGAUGGCAGUGAUACCUCUAGUGCAGGAAGCUAGAGGCCUUGAUGCUGGACCAAGACUAGUCCAAAAGUUACUUGGCUUUGCGGAUCAUAGAUCUGCAGAAAUUGUGUCAAAAGUAGCAGAGGAAGAGCUUGCGCAUGUUUCUGUAGGUUUAUAUUGGUUCCUGAAAGUAUGCCAGAUGAUGGGUCGUGUCCCUGGUGCUACUUUUAAAGAUUUAAUAGAGGAGUAUGGUAUUGUGGUGAAGGGUCCAUUUAACUAUCUGUCUCGCGAUGAAGCUGGUAUACCUCGAGAAUGGUAUGAUGAGAAGGUUAAACAUGAAGCUGCAAGUAAACUUUCAGAGGUGCACGAUAGGCUAGCUAUUGUUGUAGAGAUGGAGAAAGAGAAUGCAGGUUGAAUGGCUAAGUCUCACCUGCUGAAUGCAUGAGUUGCUUGGUAUGUACUACACUGGCUAGCUGGAACGGUGUUUGCCAGUUUGAGAUGCAGAAGCGCCUGAAGCUUGUACAGUAGUAGUAACCAUCAGUGCUGCCGGGAGGGAGAGGGAAGGUGUACUUGGCCUGAACUGCGGAGAGCUGAAGAAUACCGGACAGCAAUCGUUCAUGGCGAGAAGAAUCGAGUUGUUCAGUCUAGUCGCGGCUGACAAGUGUCAAGCAUUUCGCCCCCUACCGCGUCCGUGGAUGUGCAUCGCCGUGGCGCUGAUUAAUAGAGAUAUUCGUUUUCUGUUAGUAGAGAAGAAUCAAUGUAGAUAAACACGGUUGAUCCGGUACCGUGUCAAGCUUUGCAACCCCAAUCCUGAAAUUUCGUCUCA